UGACAAUAUAAACCCGUGCUUGGUAAUAAACUAUGCCCGUCGUCAGUUUUAACAGGCGGAUAUAGUAUAGGUCUCCGUGGGGUCAUCUUAUAUAAUAGGAGAGUGCUUUUUAUUCGCUUCCUGAUGUGAAAGCCUUGUAUGAGUAAAAUGUUUGUAUUUAUUAUCUCCAUUUAGGACUGAGGAUCGGAAGGCCAACACUGCCCUCUGUUGGCAGCUGCAGACUGCUAAAAGUUAGUCCAAGGAUUCCCACAGGUGAGAGAAAACAAGAUGCCAAGGAGAUUUGUAGGACGACAGACAAGGACAAGGGGGGAAUUAAUGCAGAUCCUCUGCUUCAGCAAGGCCUGACACUGACCCCAGUCAUGUGUCUUAAUGGAAAUACAACCAUCGGUCUCACUGAUUUGGCAUGAAACAUAUAGAUCCAGUCGCUAACUUAUAUCCACUUAAUGAUUAAUAUUAAUGUAGAAUUAUUUAUAUUCUAUCAGUGUUUAAUGUAAAACAUCCAGAUGACUCACUGUUAUCUUAAAAUAGUCUAGUAUUUUAUGUAUUUUCUCUUUUAUUGUUCAAGUAACAGAUUUCAUUCCGCCUCAUGUUUUUAACAUGUGUUGACUGACAAAUAAACUCCUUGAAUCCUU